rnacentral:rRNA from 1 species
CAGCAGCCGCGGUAAUACGAAGGGGGCUAGCGUUGUUCGGAAUUACUGGGCGUAAAGCGCACGUAGGCGGAUAUUUAAGUCAGGGGUGAAAUCCCGCAGCUCAACUGCGGAACUGCCUUUGAUACUGGGUAUCUUGAGUAUGGAAGAGGUUAGUGGAAUUGCGAGUGUAGAGGUGAAAUUCGUAGAUAUUCGCAGGAACACCAGUGGCGAAGGCGGCUAACUGGUCCAUAACUGACGCUGAGGUGCGAAAGCGUGGGGAGCAAACAGGAUUAGAUACCCGUGUAGUCCCUGUCUCUUAUAU